AAUACAUUCUAUUUUGGAGUAUAUGAUAAACAUCCAUCUAUUUAAUGGAUAAAAUUAUUUGGGACAAUUGCUUAUAUAUUUUUGAAAAUUUUUUAACUUUUUAAUUUAUCCUUCUUAAAAGGUUAAUAUUAAAAAUACUUUUUUUACGUUACAAUCUAUUUCAAAUAUACCCUUAUAGAGUUAAAUUCUGUUAAUAAACUGUUAUAGCUGUCAUCUCUAUAAAAUUACUAUUUUGCCAUUUCAAAUAUACACUUCUACCAUCACCGAUUUUUCUUAUUUGCCGUUAAAUUAGGGGUACAAAAAGUAUUCUAAUUUUUUAUCUUUUCAAAUAUACCUUUCUACCAUCAUCAUCAUUUCUUAUUUGCCCUUAAGUUAAGGACAAAAUAGGCAUUUUAAUUUUAUGUAACUCUAGUAGAUAUUUAACUCACGUUUAAUUCAAGUUUACUUAACAGGUGAUAACUGUAGAAAUAUUUUGGAAUAACGGAGGAACAUAUGAGAGGUAUAUUGGAAAGAAAAAACAAGUAGGAAUAAAUGAGAUAUUUCUGAAAUUUUGAGGAAUAUAUAGGCAAUUAUCCCAAAUUAUUUUAAUAC
rnacentral:lncRNA from 1 species